GCACGCUUUGUGUAAUCUCGACACGUAAGCCUGCUUACACGGUGUUUGCUUUAGUGUAUUUCCGCGACGAGAACGUGAAGGCUAUGUUCAACGUGCACCAUAAGAACUCAGCCACAAAUGUCUUGGAUUAUGACUCUACAAAGUGGCACCAAGAAUAAUGGCAAGACGAGCAACAAGCUUACGUCAAGGCCCAUGUGCUCCGAUUGUUCGAAUUUUGGAGGCAUUUCCUCGAGUGCCGCUGCGGCUGCCCAGAAGAAAGUGACACAAGACAUAGUUGCCUUGGCAAAAUGGUCGCUGACAUCAUGAAGGGCCAGCAUAAGCAUUUGUAGUUUUGAUUAUGAAAAUAUAUUUGAACGUAUGCCUCAUUCAA
rnacentral:lncRNA from 1 species